UCCCUGAUGGUCCAGCUGGUAAGACUCUGCACUCCCAAUGCAGGGGCCCAGGUUUGCUGCCUGGUCAAGGGA
rnacentral:tRNA from 1 species